UGAUCCCUUAUUUUCGAGGCUGCUGGUCCCUUAUUUUCAAAUCUGGUUGUCCCUUCAGUCACAAGCACCAUCUAGUCUCCUCCUGUGCUUCCUAGGGAAUCCUGCCAGCCCACUGCAAGAGAAGAAGGGGUCUGGCCUAGGCCAUCACCUGGCAGAUGUUUGCAUUUCUGGACUCAAGGUGACUUCUACAAGGCGCAACACUGAGACGGAGGAAGGAGGAAGCUGACAGGUUGUGGCACCCCCUAGACUGCUUGUAAAUAAGAAGGCAGGUAAGUGGAGGCUGGUGGGGCAGUGGCACGGUAGCAGGGUGGCCCAUGGCUCCUUUGUGCACUUCAAACUCUCUGAUGCCUCACGCCAAGCCUAAGGCCCAAACACAACUCUCGCUUUUUUGCAGGCCAUGAGUGAAACAUGCCACCCUGCUUCCCCGCAGCCCGCAGCCCCUUCCAUGGCCCCUGCUCAGGCAUCUCGGGGUGUUAGCGGCAAGCUGACAGGAAUCUGUUUCCUCAGCGCUUGGGCCUCCCCGGCCUGGUCCCAGCAGUCGCGUGAAGCCUUCAUGAGGCCCAGGAGGCAAGGUGUGUUUGAGUGGUUGCCUGGGCAACAGCCAAACACUCCCUGCAUAGCAUAAAUGGUGGGAUAACUUUGCGCUGAGAGCAGGGGGGAGUGAUGGUCGACAGUUGCCCAUCGAGCCUCAGAGUCCUGGGUUUAAAGCAUCUUUUAUCCCUUCAAUCUAUCUGGGGGCCAGCAUUUAAACUAUGCCUGAAACCUUGGGCCUUCAGCUGCUGCCAGUCAGUGUAGAGACUACUGAGCUGUUGUGGCAGCAGAAAAAGAGGGGAAAUGCUGUAAGGUCCUAGGCUGUUGGGCAUGUGUGUUGCGGACACACUAAAGUCUGGUGCUGGCCCUGCAUUGUGGCUGCGGAAACUGUUUCAGAAUGCAAGGUUUUGUAAAUACAGGCUGCCUUCAAACAUUCAGUCAAGGAGGGGGCCAAGCUGUACAGUGGUACCUCGGGUUAAGAACUUAAUUUGUUCCGGAGGUCUGUUCUUAACCUGAAACUGUUCUU